rnacentral:lncRNA from 1 species
CGUCCCCUCCUCUCUCUCUCUCUCUCUCUCGAGCGGCAUAUACUUACAAGCGAACGAAGAAGAGAUAAUGUCACCCGUGUCCUCUGACCGUCUCCCUGAGCAUCCCCCACCCCCCGCCACCCUCUUUUGAGUGAACGACACCCUCCACAAACAUCUCUUGCAUCCUGCGUCACCACCCGCAUCGCGAUCUGGAGGAGAACAGUUCUGCCUGGCUCUCCGUCCUCUUCCAAAAUCCUAGCUCGCAUCCUCCGUCUUCAGUUUUCCAUGUUCGAUUCAAGCGAAAAAUGGAUCAAGAUUUCCAUUAGUUUUUUUAAAACAAAAAAGAAAAGGAAAAAACAAAAAGAAGAAGAUGGAAAUAGAACCACAUUCUUCUGUUUAACCCUUACGAUCAAAACUGCCGUUUGAAUUCCAAAAAGGGCACGAUGCAUGAAGGUCUUCUGUCAAGCAAACUAAGGCCCACAUCCUGCAUCACAAAAUUAAAUAAAACAUUAAUUGUGAAAAAAGAUUUUUUUUUUUUGGGGAAAAGAGAACAAUGUUAGGAUCAUGCGUCAUCUAGCUCCUCCUCCUCUUUCUUGGUCUUCAUAGCGGCAGGCGCAGCGGCGGGAGCGCCACCUCCGCCGCCCGCAGCGACGGCGACAGCGGCAACGCCUACUCCGCGCGGGGCCGAGGUGAACUUCUUCCUUCUGGCCGCGAUCAGCUCUGUGAUGUCCAUCCCCUUGACCUGGGUCAGCAGAAGAUCUAUUCUCUCCUCCCUGGCUCCGCACCCACUAUGAAUCGAGAACCAAAGAAAGAGGGUCCGAUUGAAACAUUGAUAGGAAGAAGGAUCGAAGAGCCUGUUGGGGUAUAUCUGUAUCGGCCGAAGAGCGGAGGGUUUUGGAUCGUGCUAUCUAUCGGACACAUACUCGAGUACGUGCCUCUGGGUUAUAUGGAUCCGAGAAGCAGCAUUAAAUAUUUUUUUUAUUCACUCAUUUUCUUCUUCUACGAGACAUCACAAUAGAGUAAAAAAAUAAAAAUAUA